rnacentral:rRNA from 1 species
UUCUGGCUCAGGAUGAACGCUAGCGACAGGCUUAACACAUGCAAGUCGAGGGGCAGCAUAAAAGUAGCAAUACUUUGGUGGCGACCGGCGCACGGGUGAGUAACGCGUAUGCAACCUACCUAUCAGAGGGGAAUAACCCGGCGAAAGUCGGACUAAUACCGCAUAAAACAGGGGCACCGCAUGGUGAUAUUUGUUAAAGAAAUUCGCUGAUAGAUGGGCAUGCGUUCCAUUAGGUAGUUGGUGAGGUAACGGCUCACCAAGCCGACGAUGGAUAGGGGAACUGAGAGGUUGGUCCCCCACACUGGUACUGAGACACGGACCAGACUCCUACGGGAGGCAGCAGUGAGGAAUAUUGGUCAAUGGGCGGGAGCCUGAACCAGCCAAGUCGCGUGAAGGAAAGAAGGAUCUAUGGUUCGUAAACUUCUUUUGCAGGGGAAUAAAGUGCAGGACGUGUCCUGUUUUGUAUGUACCCUGAGAAUAAGGAUCGGCUAACUCCGUGCCAGCAGCUGC